rnacentral:rRNA from 1 species
CCUACGGGAGGCAGCAGUGGGGAAUAUUGGGCAAUGGGCGCAAGCCUGAUCCAGCAAUGCCGCGUGAAGGAAGAAGGCCUUCGGGUUGUAAACUGCUUUUCUCAGGGACGAAGCAAGUGACGGUACCAGAGGAAUAAGCUACGGCUAACUCCGUGCCAGCAGCCGCGGUAAUACGUAGGUGGCAAGCGUUAACCGGAUUUACUGGGUGUAAAGGGCGGGUAGGCGGGACUGCAAGUCAGAUGUGAAAACCCUGGGCUCAACCUAUGGCCUGCAUUUGAAACUGUAGUGCUUGAGUACUGGAGAGGCAGACGGAAUUCCUAGUGUAGCGGUGAAAUGCGUAGAUAUUAGGAGGAACACCGGUGGCGAAGGCGGUCUGCUGGACAGCAACUGACGCUGAGGCGCGAAAGCGUGGGGAGCAAACAGGAUUAGAUACCCCUGUAGUC